rnacentral:rRNA from 1 species
UACGUAGGGUGCGAGCGUUGUCCGGAAUUAUUGGGCGUAAAGGGCUCGUAGGCGGUUUGUCGCGUCGGGAGUGAAACUCAGGGCUUAACCCUGAGCCUGCUUCCGAUACGGGCAGACUAGAGGUAUGCAGGGGAGAGCGGAAUUCCUGGUGUAGCGGUGAAAUGCGCAGAUAUCAGGAGGAACACCAUGGCGAAGGCAGCUCGCUGGGACGUGACUGACGCUGAGACGCGAAGCGUGGGGAGCAAACAGG